CGGCGAGUGAAGCGGGAUGAGCUCAAGCUUAAAAUCUCCGUGCAAAUUUUGCACGGCGAAUUGUAGUCUAUAGAGGCGUGGUCAGCAUCGGCACUUGGGGUAAGUUCCUUGGAAGAGGACAGCAUGGAGGGUGAUACUCCCGUUUAUCCCUGAGUUGCUUGUGCGUACGACCCGUUUUCUUUGAGUCGCGUUGUUUGAGAAUGCAGCGCAAAGUAGGUGGUAAAUUCCAUCUAAAGCUAAAUAUUGGUGCGAGACCGAUAGUAAACAAGUACCGUGAGGGAAAGAUGAAAAGAACUUUGAAAAGAGAGUUAAAGAGUACCUGAAACUGCUGAAAGGGAACCAAAUCGUUUCCAGUGUCUAUAAUCCGUGGUAUAUUUCAUUGGCGAGUGUGUGCGUGCGUGUGCUAUGGCAGCGGCUUUUUGCUGCGCUUGGUGUGUGUGCUGUGUGUGCUUGCUGGUGCCCUGUGCCGCGGUGGGACGUCAAGGUCAGUUCGUAUGCUGCGGGAAAUGGCUACUGAGGAGGUAGGACUUACGUUUUCGUUUGUCUGUUACAUCUUAGUGGACGAGUUGUCGCGGUUGGGACUGAGGUGCCUACAAUGUGCUUAUGAGUGGGAUUGAAUCUCCGUGUGCGCCGUGUGCGGAUAGCUUGCUAUGCGUGUGUGGCUGCGUGUGGAUUGAGUCGAGCCUUAACUUGUUGCCGUUC
rnacentral:rRNA from 1 species